GAGUGUAAAGGCAUAAGGGAGCUUGACUGCGAGACCUACAAGUCGAGCAGGGUCGAAAGACGGACUUAGUGAUCCGGUGGUUCCGCAUGGAAGGGCCAUCGCUCAACGGAUAAAAGCUACCCCGGGGAUAACAGGCUUAUCUCCCCCAAGAGUUCACAUCGACGGGGAGGUUUGGCACCUCGAUGUCGGCUCAUCGCAUCCUGGGGCUGUAGUCGGUCCCAAGGGUUGGGCUGUUCGCCCAUUAAAGCGGUACGCGAGCUGGGUUCAGAACGUCGUGAGACAGUUCGGUCCCUAUCCGUCGUGGGCGUAGGAAAUUUGAGAGGAGCUGUCCUUAGUACGAGAGGACCGGGAUGGACAUACCUCUGGUGUACCAGUUGUCGUGCCAACGGCAUAGCUGGGUAGCUAUGUAUGGACGGGAUAAGUGCUGAAAGCAUCUAAGCAUGAAGCCCCCCUCGAGAUGAGAUUUCCCAACUUCGGUUAUAAGAUCCCUCAAAGAUGAUGAGGUGAAUAGGUUCGAGGUGGAAGCGUAGCGAUACGUGGAGCUGACGAAUACUAAUCGAUCGAAGACUUAAUCAA
rnacentral:rRNA from 1 species